rnacentral:lncRNA from 1 species
AUAUAUCGUGAGCCAUUUUUUGAGGACUCGGCUUAUAUUUCUAUAAGCCUAGUGCGGACGUAAUAACACUCCGCAAAGAAAAUGCUCUCGGCUUGUAGCAUUAUGUAAGCCGAAUGGUCCUAAAAUGCCCUCGGCUUAUAUGAGGUACACGGCUUUUACACAAAAAAGCUCUCGGCUUAUAGCGCAUACUCUUCAAAGAUAUUUGCCACGUAUCUACAACGGAGGUAGUUGACGGCGCCGUCAUGGAGU